rnacentral:tRNA from 1 species
UCCCCGGUAGUAUAGUGGUUAGUAUUUCCGCCUGUCACGCGGGAGACUGGGGGUCAAUUCCCCGCCGAGGAU